rnacentral:rRNA from 1 species
AUUGAACGCUGGCGGCAGGCCUAACACAUGCAAGUCGAGCGUGCGGCGGACGGGUGAGUAAUGCAUGGGGACUGCCCGAUAGAGGGGGAUAACCACUGGAAACGGUGGCUAAUACCGCAUACUAUCGGAUAACCCAUAUGGGAUUAGCUAGUAGGUGGGGUAAAGGCUCACCUAGGCGACGAUAUCUAGCUGGUCUGAGAGGAUGAUCAGCCACACUUGUACUGAGACACGGCCCAGACUCCUACGGAGGCAGCAGUGGAGAAUCGUGCACAAGGGGGGCAAGACUGCUACAGCCAUGCCGGGUGUAUGAAGAUGGCCUUAGGGUUUUAAAGUGCUUUCAGCGGGGAGGCGUUAUCCGGAGAAGAAGCACCGGCUAGCUCCGUAUCAGCAGCCGCGGUAAUAC